rnacentral:rRNA from 1 species
AGUGAACGCUGGCGGAAUGCUUUACACAUGCAAGUCGAGCGGCAGCGCGGGGCAACCUGGCGGCGAGCGGCGAACGGGUGAGUAAUGCAUCGGAACAUGUCCAUGUCGUGGGGGAUAGCCCGGCGAAAGCCGGAUUAAUACCGCAUACGCUCGAGAGAGGAAAGCCGGGGACCGCAAGGCCUGGCGCGAUUGGGUUGGCCGAUGUCCGAUUAGCUAGUUGGUGAGGUAAAGGCUUACCAAGGCGAUGAUCGGUAGCUGGUCUGAGAGGAUGAUCAGCCACACUGGGACUGAGACACGGCCCAGAGUCCUACGGGAGGCAGCAGUGGGGAAUUUUGGACAAUGGGUGCAACCCUGGUCCAGCCAUUCCGCGUGAGUGAAGAAGGCCUUCGGGUUGUAAAGCUCUUUUGUCCGGAGCGAAACGGUUGCGGUGAAUAUCCGCGACUACUGACGGUACCGGAAGAAUAAGCACCGGCUAACUACGUGCCAGCCGCCGCAGUAA